rnacentral:rRNA from 1 species
UACGGAGGGUGCAAGCGUUAAUCGGAAUUACUGGGCGUAAAGCGCACGCAGGUGGCUGAGUCAGUCGAUUGUGAAAGCCCUGGGCUUAACCUGGGAAUUGCAGUCGAUACUACUCAGCUAGAGUAUGGGAGAGGGUAGUGGAAUUCCCGGCGUAGCGGUGAAAUGCGUAGAUAUCGGGAGGAACAUCAGUGGCGAAGGCGGCUACCUGGCCCAAUACUGACACUCAGGUGCGACAGCGUGGGGAGCAAACAGG